rnacentral:rRNA from 1 species
AUUGAACGCUGGCGGCAUGCCUUACACAUGCAAGUCGAACGGUAACGGGCCUUCGGGUGCCGACGAGUGGCGAACGGGUGAGUAAUACAUCGGAACGUGCCCGAUCGUGGGGGAUAACGAGGCGAAAGCUUUGCUAAUACCGCAUACGAUCUACGGAUGAAAGCAGGGGACCGCAAGGCCUUGCGCGGACGGAGCGGCCGAUGGCAGAUUAGGUAGUUGGUGGGAUAAAAGCUUACCAAGCCGACGAUCUGUAGCUGGUCUGAGAGGAUGAUCAGCCACACUGGGACUGAGACACGGCCCAGACUCCUACGGGAGGCAGCAGUGGGGAAUUUUGGACAAUGGGAGCAAGCCUGAUCCAGCCAUGCCGCGUGCAGGAUGAAGGCCUUCGGGUUGUAAACUGCUUUUGUACGGAACGAAAAGCCUUCUUUUAAUACAGGAGGGUCAUGACGGUACCGUAAGAAUAAGCACCGGCUAACUACGUG